GGACCCGCACAAGUAGUGGAGCAUGUGGUUUAAUUCGAAGAUACGCGCAGAACCUUACCAACACUUGACAUGUUCGUCGCGACUUUAAGAGAUUAAAGUUUUCGGUUCGGCCGGACGAAACACAGGUGCUGCAUGGCUGUCGUCAGCUCGUGUCGUGAGAUGUUGGUUAAGUCCCGCAACGAGCGCAACCCUCACUUUUAGUUGCCAUCAUUAAGUUGGGCACUCUGAAAGAACUGCCAGUGAUAAGCUGGAGGAAGGUGGGGAUGACGUCAAGUCCUCAUGGCCCUUACGUGUUGGGCUACACACGUGCUACAAUGGUAUCUACAACAGGAAGCAAGACUGCGAGGACAAG
rnacentral:rRNA from 1 species